rnacentral:lncRNA from 1 species
GGCAAGGAAGCCACAUGGCCGGCAGCACAAGGAUCUGAUUGCAUCCACAGCUAAGGACUGAGAAAUCAAUGUCAAAGAUGAGACAGAGGCCAAUGGCAGACAUCUUCUAUGCGGGGGAUCAGGAGAGCAGACUCAAGUGCUAAUGCUAUCUCACUUUCUUCAAGCGGGGUUGCAUCCAGAGAACAGAGCAGAACAGUUAGCCUCAGAAGAGAUAGUACAGGUUUUACACACCAAGGUGGAUCACUGUUUCAGGUGUGGGAACCUCCAGUCGAG